UAUUAUUAUGAUAUUUAUGAACCGCUAAUCUCUGAAAGAGUGUUUGGGAAGAGGGUUGUUCUAAGAAUCAGAAUUUACAGUGGGAAGAGGGUAAUAGGUAUAAAUUUGAACCCAUUGAAAUUGAAGAGAGAGAAAAUCGACAAAGAAAAAGUUGAGGGUAGAAUCUGUGAAGCUAUCGUUUCUUUCUGGUCUGAUUUGGGGAUUUCCGUUCAAAUGGACGACGGCGAGCUCGAUUUCUCGACGCAGGAAGUGUUUUCGAGUCCGAACAUGGGGGAGCUUCCGAGCAGUGGUUCCAUGGACAGUUUCUUCGACGAGCUUCUCAAGGACACGCAUGCCUGCACGCACACCCACACAUGCAAUCCUCCGGGGCCCGAUUUUUCGCACACUCAUACGUGCUACCACGUGCACACCAAAAUCGUGCCGGCACCUGAUGAGGACCAGGUGGCCACCGACGACACGGCGGAGUCCGCGGAGAAGAAGUCGAAGAAGCGGCCCCUUGGUAACAAAGAAGCGGUUCGAAAGUACCGUGAGAAGAAGAAGGCUCGCGCGGCCUCGCUGGAGGACGAGGUGGUGAAAUUGAGGGCUCUCAAUCAGCAUUUGAUGAAGAAGUUGCAGAACCAGGCUGCUUUGGAAGCUGAAAUCGCGAGGCUGAAGUGCUUGCUGGUGGACAUAAGGGGCAGGAUUGAAGGGGAAAUUGGUUCCUUUCCGUAUCAGAAAUCGCCGAAUGCGAACCCUCCGGUGGUUAACCUGCCUGGUUCUUAUGUGAUGAACCCUUGCAACAUGCAGUGUGAUGAUAGGGUGUAUUGCCUUCAUCCAGGAGCUGAUGGGAGAAUCGUGGAGAAUGUGUCGUUAAAUGGGGAAGAGUUUGGUGGUUGUGAAUUUGAGAACCUGCAGUGUCUAGCAAACCAGAAUUUGGGGCUCAAGGAGCUGCGUGCAUGUGGAGUUGGGCAGGCAGGGUCAAAUGUAAAUUCUUCUGCGUCAAAAAGAAAAGGGGGAUCUCGUGCAGCAACAGCUGGUUGAAGAAUUAAUAGAACGUUGGUUUUCAUCCUUGCCAUGAACUUAGGGCAGAUGGGGUGUGUUUCAUCUUUCAGUACUUAGUGCUGUGGACAGCAUUUUUACUGGACAAGGGUUGACUAAUAUGUAUCCAGAAGGAACUGUAGUCCCCUAAGUGAAGAUCUUGCAUGCGGGCUUGUCUUCUACAAGUUGAGACAUACAAGUGACUUGUUUUGUAUUUGAGAACGCUAGUAGCUGUACCUGAUUCAAUGAUGGGAAGCAUAUCUGCCUUUCUGCACUUAGAUAACAAGUCUUCACUAGUUUUUGGUGACCAUCUUUUCGGCAUUAGAUGAUUAAUAAAACAUUAUAUUAUUGUAUCUUCUACUUGGAUUGUCAUUUCUGGACAAAUUUUGUAAUAAUUAACCUCGCAUUGGUUUC